UGCGCGGCAAAACAAAAAGGAGAGAAGAGGUGAACUAUCAAAACAGUCGUGCGGAUGAAGCGCCCCCUCCCCCAACCCCCGAAAAAAAAAAAUGAUGUUGCGUUCUCUUUCAGUCUCUCGUUUACAGCGGGUCUUUUCCCACUUUUCGUUUUGUUACCCGAAAACACUCGUGUGUGCAUCUGUGCGUGCCUUUGGCCUUGUGUGUGUGCGUAUGUGUGCAUGUGGACGUUACGGUGAUGUGUGCACCGGCGAACUUGAUAAGGCGACGCGCGGCAAAGAUGGAGGAGGGGGAGGGAAGCGAGGGGGGGGUUGAGUAGAGUGCGUUUGUCCUUUGCGCGUGCGUGUUAUACCUGGGCAGCAUUCACAAGAAACGGCACGCUGAUCUGUGCUAGUUUUGGGCGACGUUCGGCAUACCGUCAAAAAAGUAAUCGCACCACCCCUCGUCAACGACAAUGAUAGGGCACAAUCCGUUGUACGUGGGGUGGUGGUGGUAUUCACGUCAACUUGUCACAUUUCUGGACCCCGAAAGCCGAUGGAGCGUGAGAAGGGGGGCGAGAAGGGUAGAGAGCGAGAGAGGGGCAUGGGGGGGCACGGGGCAUCAAGGAUGCCAUGUGCGUUGCUGCAGGCGCGUGGACACACAACCCUCAGCUUAGUACGCCAGUCGCUUUUCUUUUCCCUUCUCAAUGUACGCAAUACCCGCUCUUGACGAUGGAUGGUUCUUUUUCUUAGACAUGUGCGCUGACUGCUGCGCACCCACGCGCAUGAACGCACACGCUGGCGUUGAAGGCCGCCAUUGCUGGAGUUCACUCCGAUUGGUCGCCACGCGCUCCACACUUUCUGACGGCGCACCACGUCUCAGCUCUUCCCCACGAAACCCUCACUGAGGCCAAAUGAAAAAAAAUCAAACAAAAAAUCUACAGUUAUGCCACACCCCUCCAAAAAAAAAAAAACAUCAAAAAAGAUUCACAUUUCUGGAGUGCAGUGAUAGCAAGACGACAACGCGAGGGCUUGAUAUCGAUCGGAGAGCGAGUGUGUCCGAUGUUGGAAGAGGGACCCUUCCGCACCUACAACAAGGUCGUCUCGCAUGCGAGAGAGAGUCGCAUCAGGCAGCUACCGACCGCGGCUAAUGUGUGUGCGUGUGUGCGUAGGGGGGGGGUAGAGGGGAUCUGGUGAUGAGGUGAUCGGAUAAAAGCGACAUGCAGUGCACCGGGAGAUGCCAGUGCCUCUCGUGACUGUGUUGGCCAUAUGAGCCAAAUAGUAUUACGGGGCUUCUGCCUGUGUACUGCCGUCACACUCACAUCCACUCUCCUUCUGUUUCUCCGUCCCCGGACAUGUUCUUCCCUCCCCCCAUACGCACUUGCGUGUGUGUGCGUUUCUAUUUCUUUGUAUCAUCCUUUGUCUUACCCUGACUAUUAUUAUUGCUUGUGCUGCCGAAACUGACGAACGCGUCCGUCGUGCCACAG
rnacentral:misc_RNA from 1 species